UACGUAGGGUGCAAGCGUUGUCCGGAAUUAUUGGGCGUAAAGAGCUUGUAGGCGGUUUGUCGCGUCUGCUGUGAAAUUUCGGGGCUCAACCCCGAACUUGCAGUGGGUACGGGUAGACUAGAGUGUGGUAGGGGAGACUGGAAUUCCUGGUGUAGCGGUGAAAUGCGCAGAUAUCAGGAGGAACACCGAUGGCGAAGGCAGGUCUCUGGGCCGAUACUGACGCUGAGGAGCGAAAGCGUGGGGAGCGAACAGG
rnacentral:rRNA from 1 species